rnacentral:tRNA from 1 species
GCGCGUGUAGCUCAGCGGCGAGAGCAUCCGACUUUUAAUCGGAGGGUCGAGAUUUCGAAUAUCUCCGCGCGCACCA